AUAUACAGCCAUAAUAUAUUGAAUGUGUCCAGUCUCAUCUGUUAUUCAAAGCCAAGCAUUAGUGGGCCUGAUUGGUACUUGGAUGGAAGAACACCUGAGAAAAAAGAGAAAGAGAACUGCAUUCC
ensembl:rRNA 5S_rRNA 5S ribosomal RNA